GGAGAAGGAGCGCCGAAGGGGGAGCGACGCUGACCGGAGGAGGAGGGCCGAACGGAGAGCAACGCUGACGGAACGUACCUGGAGUCGCCGGAGUGAGGAGUCGCCGGAGAGUUAGCCGAGUGGGAGCCGCCGGAGAGAUGGAAGACACGCCGGAAACGGAAGAACGAAGCUUCAGCCGAGAGGAGCGACGACGAGCACGCACGAAGAGUUCUUCGCUUUGUUCCGAAUUUGUUCUUUUGUUUCUUUCGUUUUUGUUCUUUUAUUCCGUCGAAGAAGUGUUUCUUUUCAAAAGAAACAACUUUUUUUUGUUUCUUUUUUCUGUUCCUAUUUCGUUCCAGAAACAAAAAAACAAAAAAGGAACAAAAACGCAACCAAACGCGUUUCUGUUCCUUUUUUGUUCCCGGGCACACUUUCCGUACAAAAGUGUGCCGGAAACGUUUCUAAGAAAC
rnacentral:lncRNA from 1 species